rnacentral:rRNA from 1 species
UACGUAGGAGGCAAGCGUUGUCCGGAUUUAUUGGGCGUAAAGGGCGUGUAGGCGGCAUGGCAAGUCUGUUGUGAAAGCUCUCGGCUUAACCGGGAGAGGUCGGUAGAAACUGCCAAGCUUGAGGACGGUAGAGGGGGGUGGAAUUCCCGGUGUAGUGGUGAAAUGCGUAGAUAUCUGGAGGAAUACCGGUGGCGAAGGCGGCAUCCUGGACCGGCAUUGACGCUGAGGAGCGAAAGCUAGGGGAGCAAACGGG